rnacentral:rRNA from 1 species
CUCAGGAUGAACGCUGGCGGCGUGCUUAACACAUGCAAGUCGAACGGAGCUUAUACGAUAGAGGAUUCGUCCAAUUGACUAUAAGCUUAGUGGCGGACGGGUGAGUAACGCGUGAGUAACCUGCCUUGGAGUGGGGAAUAACACAGUGAAAAUUGUGCUAAUACCGCAUAAUGCAGUUGGGUCGCAUGGCUCUGACUGCCAAAGAUUUAUCGCUCUGAGAUGGACUCGCGUCUGAUUAGCUAGUUGGCGGGGUAACGGCCCACCAAGGCGACGAUCAGUAGCCGGACUGAGAGGUUGGCCGGCCACAUUGGGACUGAGACACGGCCCAGACUCCUACGGGAGGCAGCAGUGGGGAAUAUUGGGCAAUGGGCGCAAGCCUGACCCAGCAACGCCGCGUGAAGGAAGAAGGCUUUCGGGUUGUAAACUUCUUUUGUCAGGGACGAACAAAUGACGGUACCUGACGAAUAAGCCACGGCUAACUACGUG